GAAAAACUCAUAAAUUGGGCAAAUGCCGAAGUGAAAUGAAUAAAUACCUAUACUGCCGCGGACUAUGUAAACCCUCAGCAGCAGCCGCCGGCAAAUCUCAAAUAACAAAUGCAAGUGUGGAAUGACUCUGAGUGACUCUCAGAGAGCGGAGAGAAACAGAGGAGAGGAAGAGAUCGAAAUGGCCAAGUGGAAAAUUUUGGCGGGCAGCAGCUAAAAUACGAUUUAGUCGGAGACACCUAAUUAACCAACAAACAAGUCAAAUAUUAACGAAAUAAUGUAAAUGUGAAGUGAGAGCUACUUUUCCCUCCAAUUGGAGUUGUAAGCGCGGGAAAAGGAAUACGAGAAAACCAUAAAUUGGACAAAUGCCGAAGUAAAAUUAAUAAAUAACUACAAAUAUAUGUUCCUGGUCCGUCAGCACUUGGACAUCAAAUUAAAGCUACUAAAACAACAACAAAAACACCUGAGAC